rnacentral:rRNA from 1 species
UACGGAGGGUGCCAGCGUUGUCCGGAUUUAUUGGGUUUAAAGGGUGCGUAGGCGGCCCAGUAAGUCCGUGGUGAAAGCCAACAGCUCAACUGUUGAACUGCCAUGGAUACUGCUGGGCUUGAGUACAGACGAGGUAGGCGGAAUGGAUAGUGUAGCGGUGAAAUGCAUAGAUACUAUCCAGAACACCGAUUGCGAAGGCAGCUUACUAGACUGUCACUGACGCUGAGGCACGAAAGCGUGGGGAGCGAACAGG